GGGUCAGCAAUCGGUGACGGAUGGCCUGAUCCUCCAAGGCCCAAUCCUUUGCAAACCAAGCAUUUGCCCGCCAAGCCGCUGCCGGAUGUGUCCUCCGAAGGCAAAGGUCGUACGUUCGAAUCGUAUCGGGUCCGCCA
rnacentral:tRNA from 1 species